AAUAAGUAUUUAAACAAGAGCCAAUUGUCAGAGUUAUAGGUAAAUUCAAAUGUAUAUACCAAAUUAUAGUGAAGGGGUUCAAGAUAUGCAUAAGUUCACUCCACAAGGUCGAAGAGGAUAACCUUCCCAUCAACAAUAUGGCUGAAAGGGCUGUAGUUGGAGAUGUCAAUCCCCAGGUUUUCAAAAAUGGCUUGAGCUAGGGCCUCCUUGAAACCC
rnacentral:lncRNA from 1 species